AAAGAUAUACAAAGAAAUAUAGUGGUUCGAUGUUCGUUAUCACUUUGCCUUAUCCACUCUUCAAUAGUGUUAAAAACCACGGAACAAUAAUCAUGAUCUUCCUCUAUUUUUAUAAGUUUGAUACAAGCAUUUUGAUUAGAAUGAACUAUCAUAUGAUAAUUGCCUCUAUUGAUGGAGACACUCAAACUACUAUAGAAACAAGAUCUCUAAAGAUCUUGAUCCAAUAACCUUGCAAUCCACAAUAACUUGCUCCAAGUAUUUGUGUGUGGAAAUCCACUUGAUC
rnacentral:lncRNA from 1 species